rnacentral:rRNA from 1 species
AAUUCGCCCUUAGAGUUUGAUCCUGGCUCAGAGUGAACGCUGGCGGCAGGCCUAACACAUGCAAGUCGAACGGCAGCACAGGGGAGCUUGCUCCCUGGGUGGCGAGUGGCGGACGGGUGAGGAACACAUGGGAAUCUGCCCCGACGUGGGGGAUAACGUAGGGAAACUUACGCUAAUACCGCAUGAUCUGGAGACAGCAAAGCGGCGGACCGCAAGGCGUCGCGCGACGGGAUGAGCCCAUGUCGGAUUAGCUAGUUGGCGGGGUAAAGGCCCACCAAGGCGACGAUCCGUAGCUGGUCUGAGAGGAUGAUCAGCCACACUGGAACUGAGACACGGUCCAGACUCCUACGGGAGGCAGCAGUGGGGAAUAUUGGACAAUGGGCGCAAGCCUGAUCCAGCCAUGCCGCGUGGGUGAAGAAGGCCUUCGGGUUGUAAAGCCCUUUUGUCCGGAGAGAAAAGCAAUCGGUUAAUACCCGGUUGUUCUGACGGUACCGGAAGAAUAAGCACCGGCUAACUUCGUGCCAGCAGCCGCGGUAAUACGAAGGGUGCAAGCGUUACUCGGAAUUACUGGGCGUAAAGCGUGCGUAGGUGGUUCGUUAAGUCCGAUGUGAAAGCCCUGGGCUCACCUGGGAAUGGCAUGGGAUACUGGCGGGCUAGAGUGCGGUAGAGGCAGUGGAAUUCCGG